GUUGCCUCGGCUCUCUGCUGCCUAGCUAUUUGGCCAAGUUAAAUGUAUAAAUCGACAUUCAUUUAAGUGGUCCCUCCUAUCUCUUGCCAUACUGCAUCUUUUGAUCUCACCUCUGGUUGUACGAUGAGCAUAGUUGAGAAGGACUAUCAUAGAAUGAAAUCGGGAGAGUAGAAUGACAAUUUAAUUUGUGUGAUGCCUAUACUAUAGCGACAGCUGGAUUUAAAACAAGAUUUUUAUUUGUCCUGCAGGAAGAGAGAUUAGCUUGUGCAGUCGUACUGGCCGAAGAUGGAUGGCGUCACCUCUGUCCCAUACAGUCUGCGUUUUCAGGGCGGGGCCCAGCCUGUGUACUUCGUUGGUACCUGUAUGGCGAGGAACCUGUGCAACAUGAGCUGCUGCACACCCUGGGCCUGCACCACGAACACACACGGUUGGACCCUGACCACUACGUCACCAUACAGUGGGGGAGCCAGGAAAAGAGAAGAACUUCCAAGGUGAAGAAAGGAGACCCUCAGAACCUGCCCUCUGACUACAAUUCCAUCAUGCAAUAUGGACCGUCAGUCACACUCCUGUAUUCCUCUCCUCCUUCUUCCCACUAAAGUCCUCCUUUUACUCAUUUUAUUGUAAUAAACGGCUAGCAAUAAGUAAAGAUCACUGUUCCUGGGCCUGUGUACAGUCCAGUAGCAUUUCCAGAUGUGUCCUAAAUGGCUCCCUGUUUAGUGCACUUACUUUGACCAGGGCAAAUGGGCCUCUGGUCAAACUUGGUGAGCUAUAUUGGGAAUAGGGUGCCAUUUGGGACGCAAGCUGUGUGUUAAAGGAGCAGGUCCUCUAACCCUCCCUUGUUGGGUUUCUCCUGGCAGGUAUUUCUUCUCAGCAGACUGGAACCCCACCCCACCGCUAACUAAGCUAGCCGUUUCACAUCCGUUACACUGACACCCAACUGUUCCCCUUGCAGAGCAAGCCAUUUCACAUCGGUUAUAUAAGGUCUACCUGUUGUAUUCGUCGCAUGUGACUAAUAAAAUUUGAUUUGAUGGAUUUAUUUCAAUUCCCGGAUUUCCUUACGUGAACUGUAACUCAGUAAAAUCUUUGAAAUGCUUGCAUGUUGCAUUUAUAUUUUUGUUCAGUAUAUUUUAUAUACCCAUCGAUUCUUGAAGAAUAUAACUUGUGCUUGUCGUGGAAAUUGCAAGAUUAUGUUAUAAUGCUUGUAUUGCAUUUCAAUGGUUGUUUUACUCGACAGAAUAGACUGUUCUGUAAACUAUUGUGUGUGUGUUCUACUGAGGAGGGCCUCUAUGAGAUAGCACUGACAGAGGAGAUUUACAAUGUCUUUGGAUGAUAAAACCUAAAGAGCAUUCCAGAUAACAUGAGGUAAUGUUUUUGUGCUAUACCGUACCAGGGUGAGACGGUUCCAGUUUGGAGUAGGAGGACCAGACACUGGUCUGUCUAUACAAAGAAAACUGUUGACACAGCAGUUGCUGUCUGCUAUGUAUUAUAGAUACCUUUCAUACAAAUCUUAACCUUGUGACCAUUCUAUGUAUCUGUUGUAGAUUGCGAGGGGUUUAUCUUGGCUAUAAAAGAUCUUUGUACUUUUGUGUUGUCACUUUCAAUGGUUCAUUAGAAAUGGUGCAUCAUUGAAAGUCAUUGCUAAUGCAACGCUUUUA